rnacentral:snRNA from 1 species
GUUUCACUUUUCCACCGU